GAUGAACGCUGGCGGCGUGCUUAACACAUGCAAGUCGAACGGGAUCGGCUGGAGCUUGCUCCGGCCGUGAGAGUGGCGAACGGGUGAGUAAUGCGUGACCGACCUGCCCCAUACACCGGAAUAGCUCCUGGAAACGGGUGGUAAUGCCGGAUGCUCCAGUUGACCGCAUGGUCCUCUGGGAAAGCUUUUGCGGUAUGGGAUGGGGUCGCGUCCUAUCAGCUUGAUGGCGGGGUAACGGCCCACCAUGGCUUCGACGGGUAGCCGGCCUGAGAGGGCGACCGGCCACAUUGGGACUGAGAUACGGCCCAGACUCCUACGGGAGGCAGCAGUGGGGAAUAUUGCACAAUGGGCGCAAGCCUGAUGCAGCGACGCCGCGUGCGGGAUGACGGCCUUCGGGUUGUAAACCGCUUUUGACUGGGAGCAAGCCCUUCGGGGUGAGUGUACCUUUCGAAUAAGCACCGG
rnacentral:rRNA from 1 species